UACGGAGGGGGCUAGCGUUGUUCGGAAUUACUGGGCGUAAAGCGCACGUAGGCGGAUUGGAAAGUUGGGGGUGAAAUCCCAGGGCUCAACCCUGGAACUGCCUUCAAAACUCCCAGUCUUGAGUUCGAGAGAGGUGAGUGGAAUUCCGAGUGUAGAGGUGAAAUUCGUAGAUAUUCGGAGGAACACCAGUGGCGAAGGCGGCUCACUGGCUCGAUACUGACGCUGAGGUGCGAAAGCGUGGGGAGCAAACAGG
rnacentral:rRNA from 1 species